UGCCAAUGUUGUGAUUGUGGCUUAUAACCGGCUGGAAGUCACGGAACCACUCACACCGAUUGAGAGGUGUGUGCUCGAUCUUCUCCUCGAGCAGGUCCAAUUUGUUCAGUACCAGGAGGAAGUCCUUCUUGUAGAAAGUCGGAACUCGUCGUAGUCGGCCAACGAGAUGCAGAACAAGACGAUGUUCACAUCCUCAAACAUCUCCAACCACUUGCAGUUCUCUCCUAGGCUUCUUGGAUGUACUCUGAUGAGCUGGUACCUGCAGGAUGAUCAAUGUCGACUUCGUGAAGAAAGAACGUGACCCUAGCCAAAUUUACUUGUCGAGUUAGAAUAGAUCGGUUCAGCCAAGUGAUUCAGGAACGGACCUAGGCUCGAGCCGUCCCUAACUCUAUUUCUUGCAACCUCAUGUAGCCUGUAUACCGUAAAAUAACAAUAACUAUAGCUGGUGAUUUGAUGUUUUAGCAUUUGAAUAAUGAUUGUACCUCGGAAAGGAAUUGUGCUGAUCAGAAUGGUUCAUAGAUU